UCCCCAGAAGGACCAAUCAGGAAAAGGAAUAUCAAAGUGAUCCUGAGUCGUGCAAUAUCGAAAUAGAGGCAGAGGCAUGGAGCUGUGUUCGGUCUUGUUAAUAUUAGGCCUGUCCAUGCAAUCAAACAUGAGAUCAACAUCAGGAACCAUCCCAGGAUACCUUUCUAGUAACUGCAACAAUCCCCAUAUUGUAAACAUCAUCCGGCUCUGCACACAGGCAUAAUAAAGAUCCAAAUACAAUCUUCCCUUGAAAAUCACAACCCUGAAAGCUGCAAAAUUUUUGGCCUCCAUUACAUGUUUCUUCGUUAUCCCUGUACGGGACCAGGGCUCCAGAUCGUGAUGGAUAAAGCUGAAGAACUCAGGGCAUUGUUGAGAGGAUGACUUGGAAUGACGUGGGCGGGAGGGAGUGGUGGUGGUGGUGGUGGUG
rnacentral:misc_RNA from 1 species